rnacentral:pre_miRNA from 16 species
UUAGUGGCACAAUACCUCAGUCUUUUCAGAUGUUCUAUAAAUUCACCUGGAAAUACUGAGGUUGAGUUUCACUGAAC